UACGUAGGGGGCUAGCGUUGUCCGGAAUCAUUGGGCGUAAAGAGCGUGUAGGCGGCCCGGUAAGUCCGCUGUGAAAGUCGGGGCUCAACCCUCGAAUGCCGGUGGAUACUGUCGGGCUAGAGUGCGGAAGAGGCGAGUGGAAUUCCGUGGUGUAGCGGUGAAAUGCGCAGAUAUCAGGAAGAACACCCGUGGCUAAGGCGGCUCGCUGGGACGUUACUGACGCUGAGACGCGAAGCGUGGGAGCAAACAGG
rnacentral:rRNA from 1 species